UAACAUUUGAUUUAAGACGGAAUAUUCAACAGUAUAAUUUGGUCAGAUGGAGGUUUAUGGGAAGACACGUGACCCCGGCCAUGACAAAGGCUCCGGUGAGGCAUGCCCGCUUUGUCAGCCGUGUGGAGAGGGAGGGAAACAAGCGAUCGCUGAUGGCUUUUGUCAGAAUUGCAAGGAGUACAUGUGUAGAUCAUGUUUCGAGUUACACCAGCGAUUCAAGAAUUUCAAGAACCAUUUUCUGCUUAAGAAAGAUGAGAUGCCAUCAUUUUAUCCCUCAACUAAGCAUUCCGAUAUUGGGCAAAUGGACUAUUGCAGCUAUCAUCCAGACGAGAAAAUAAAAUUUUAUUGCCCUUCCCACGACGCCAUAGGUUGUGGCGACUGCAUUGUUCUUGAACAUCGGGGAUGCAAAGUCGAUUACAUUGCUGAAGUUUCGAAAGGCUUUGUCAAGAAUAACAAGUUUCAACAACUUUUGCCGACUAUUAAAGAACUUGACAUCCUUUUGGACGUAAACUUGAAUAACGUUCAAGAUCUCGUUUACUAUGCCGAUAAGCAGUUUGAAGGCGAACGGCGAAAGCCAACAAAAUUUCAACAGGAAAUCAAUGCAUUUAUUGUCCACUGCCAGAAUUGGCAGAAAAAACGUUUUGGACACAAUGCAACGAAUUAAAGAUGAAGAUGAAGCGAUACUGAAAGAAAUAACGGCAGAAUAUGGCAGACUCAAUGCGAGAUUGGGCCCCAUUAAAGCAAAAAUUACAAACUCGGACACAUCUGAACACCAGUUGUUCGUGGAAGGAACGAUAGCUGCAAGACAAUGUUAAACGAACUGCGUUCUGAAAUGAAUGAUACUAUCAAAAGGAUGACGAUACGGAAAUACAGUUUCAAGAAAGACCCGGACAUAGAGAAAUGGCUAUAUUCAAAAUCGGCACUGGGAACGAUUGCAAUGGAAGGAAGACAAAACUGGAAUCUAGAUCUGGCUGCCAAAACGCCGAUCAAUGAUGCGAAACCCUUGGCUUAUAGUAGCAUAUCCGGCAAAAACAACAGUAUACCUCCAAGAUAAAGCCGUGGAGUCGCAUCUCAAGUUGCCUGAUGCCCCAUGGGAUUUGUGCGUGCUCCUCGGUAUUCAAAUCGCCGUUACUCUCCCGGGGAAAACUUUUAUCCAACUUGUGGACUAUAAGGACCAGCAACUAUGUAAUGGGAUGACCAUUAGCGUUUCAAACGAUUGCCGCGGUAUAGCUUAUCACAACCAUAGCGUGUAUGUCUUUUUUGUAAGCACUUCAUGGAUCAGUCAUAAUUACUAUAGAAUUGUGCCGAAAUUAAUUUGAUUUGCCCUUCGUUCUAUUAGAUUAUAGUCCACAACAUCUCAUUCGUCUAUAAUUGUAUGUUUUGAUCGUUACUAAAAACCUAACAAUACUUUGUAAAAGGUCUAGGAAAUGUUAGCGUCCAUUUUAAUUACAGUUGCUGUAUUAUUGCACAUAUAAAGCAGCGUUUUAUUUUGAAUUACAUUUUUUAACAAAUAUAUAAAAAUAAAUCGAGCUGAGGGCUCAUUUUCAGAUGCCCCAAAAUACAAUUGCAGGUCAAGCUUUUAAAUCAAUUUUUAAGAUUAAAAAGUAUUUUAUAAACGUAGACAUGCAAAACAUGCAAAAGUUUAUCUAUUUAAUUACAUCUGAUAAAGAAGACCUGUUAAGAAAACUAAGUAUUUAUGUUAAGUUAUAUCAGUUGACAUGUACGCGUACUAAUUUGUGGUCUAUUUUUGUUAUCAUGUAAAGUUUUGAUAUUGAUAAGUUUAUUACGAAUGUUAACUUGUUUAUCAUACAUGUAUAAAAUACUUUUAUUUAGAAUUACUGUUACAUAAGCGAGUGUUCAGCUUAAAAAACUAAUCUAAAGUGUUAGUCCAAUAAUAGUGUAUGCAAAUACUUCUGAUGAAGUAACUCUUACCUGAAUCAAAAUAAGUACGCAUUUAAAAGUACGCAUGCUUUAUAAACUCUAUCAGUAUGCAUUAAAUAUAUCUUUUCACCUCGACACAUAAUUUCUGUCUGUAUUGUUAUUAGACUGAAUAUUUACACCAAAUUUGUACAAUGAUUCUCUGUAGAAUGUUUCCUAAACAGUUUUAAACUAAUCUUACCUGUCUAGAUUUUACAAAAGGAAAUUUAAAAGUCUUAGUGAUUUCCCUUCGUCUCCCUUUAAUUAAGUUUUGUAUAGGCUGUCCGAUGUAGGGAGUUACGAUAUUUGCUAAUUUAAUCUCAUCAUAAAAAAACUACCGUAUUGUAUAUAUGUUUGUAUAUACUCUUUAUUUCCAUUUAUCAGUGAUUAUACAUUUACAUUUAUUGUUCAUUUAUUUAAUACAAAAGUAUGAUACAAUAUUUUAAUUUACUUCACGUAUGCAGUUGAUGUAUUGCUAAUUAGAUGUCUAUUUUGGAUGUAUGCAUGAAAUAUCCUGUACGAUGUAUGUCUA